rnacentral:rRNA from 1 species
UGGGGAAUAUUGGACAAUGGGGGAGACCCUGAUCCAGCCAUGCCGCGUGAGUGAUGAAGGCCUUAGGGUUGUAAAGCUCUUUCGCUAGGGAAGAUAAUGACGGUACCUAGUAAAGAAGCCCCGGCUAACUUCGUGCCAGCAGCCGCGGUAAUACGAAGGGGGCUAGCGUUGUUCGGAAUUACUGGGCGUAAAGCGCGCGUAGGCGGGCUGUUAAGUUGGGGGUGAAAUCCCGGGGCUCAACCUCGGAUUUGCCUCCAAAACUGGCAGUCUAGAGUCCGAGAGAGGUGAGUGGAACUCCGAGUGUAGAGGUGAAAUUCGUAGAUAUUGGGUGGAACACCAGUGGCGAAAGCGGCUCUCUGGUCCGGAUCUGACGCUGAGGCGCGAAAGCGUGGGGAGCAAACAGGAUUAGAUACCCGUGUAGUCC